rnacentral:rRNA from 1 species
GACGAACGCUGGCGGCGUGCUUAACACAUGCAAGUCGAACGGAAAGGCCCUGCUUUUGUGGGGUGCUCGAGUGGCGAACGGGUGAGUAACACGUGAGUAACCUGCCCUUGACUUCGGGAUAGCUUCAGGAAACUGGGGCUAAUACCGGAUAGGAGCUCCUGCUGCAUGGUGGGGGUUGGAAAGUUUCGGCGGUUGGGGAUGGACUCGCGGCUUAUCAGCUUGUUGGUGGGGUAGUGGCUUACCAAGGCUUUGACGGGUAGCCGGCCUGAGAGGGUGACCGGCCACAUUGGGACUGAGAUACGGCCCAGACUCCUACGGGAGGCAGCAGUGGGGAAUAUUGCACAAUGGGCGGAAGCCUGAUGCAGCAACGCCGCGUGCGGGAUGACGGCCUUCGGGUUGUAAACCGCUUUCGCCUGUGACGAAGCGUGAGUGACGGUAAUGGGUAAAGAAGCACCGGCUAACUACGUG